rnacentral:rRNA from 1 species
AGUUACGUACUCCGUGCACGAGGACAACGCUGGCGGCGUGCCUAACACAUGCAAGUCGAACGAGAAUCUUAUGUGUGAUCCCUUCGGGGUGAACGUUUUAAGAGGAAAGUGGCGGACGGGCGAGUAACGCGUGGGUAACCUGCCCAUAAGAGGGGGAUAAUCCAUGGAAACGUGGACUAAUACCGCAUAUUGAAUAUUUAUCGCAUGGUAGAUAUUUGAAAGAUUUAUCGCUUAUGGAUGGACUCGCGUCAGAUUAGCUAGUUGGUGAGGGUAAUGGCUCACCAAGGCGACGAUCUGUAGCCGAACUGAGAGGUUGAUCGGCCGCAUUGGGACUGAGACACGGCCCAGACUCCUACGGGAGGCAGCAGUGGGGAAUAUUGCGCAAUGGGGGAAACCCUGACGCAGCAACGCCGCGUGCAGGAAGAAGGUCUUCGGAUUGUAAACUGUUGUCGCACGGGGAAGAAGACAGUGACGGUACCCUGUGAGAAAGUCACGGCUAACUACGUG